rnacentral:tRNA from 2 species
GGAGAGAUGGCUGAGUGGUCGAAAGCGGCAGAUUGCUAAUCUGUUGUACAAGCUUAAUUGUACCGAGGGUUCGAAUCCCUUUCUCUCCU